CCACGGAGGCCGCGGAAGCCAAACGCUACGCAUCGAGGCUGCAGCAAGGGGCUGCGGCCGGCGGCCGUGACGAAGCUGCCGCGUGAAGGCCCGCCGGCCUCGAGGUGGAGGCUGCGCUGAGGCAGCGUAGGAAUUGAAGGAGGCUGUUACCUCCAUGGAUGGAUGCUGGAUCUCCCCCAUCGAGCUCGGGGCGAUGGAUGGAUCUCCGCUGACAAGGUUGUGAUAUACACUGCCUGAAUGAUUGAGCAUGAUGGAAGUAAUCCAUGUUUCUUCAGAGUAUGUUCUUCCAUAGUAAGCUGCCUUUGCAGCACAAAAUUUCCUGAACUUUGAGAUGCCAUGAUUGCUUUUCAGUUAGAUAAUGCCAUAAUCUAAUACUAGGAGCAUGUUCAGGCUCAUCUUAUCAGGGGAUUAACUAUCAUUCUGCUUGGUCUAUUCGAUUCUAGACUAACAUCUGGAACCAUGAACAGAUUAGAGAAGAAUUUUUUCUUUCAAAGGACUGCGUAGAUAACCAACAACAGAUUGCUAACAGUAUUCUUGGUGCAGUCAUCAGCUUUGUGUGAAAGCACUCGGGAGUUUCCUUAUAUUUUGGUUAACUGAAAUUAUUGUUGGAUUUAAGAAAUCUAUUGUAUGGAACAUUGUUAGUUC